GCCAUGCCCCGCACAACUUUUCUUGGUACUCCUUACAUUGAGUUUUGUAUUAUGCAUGUUUCUGUGCUUGUCGUAUAUCAUAUAUGCAGCUAUUAGUACUUGGUACCUGAAGUAUUCCUUUAGGAUAUACUAGUUGUGCAGGGAACUAGGAUAUAUUAGAGUAGCUUAGGAACCCAAAGGAGGGCUUUUUGCUAUUAUCUAGUGUUCACCAGUUAAAUUACAACCACAUUAAAG